rnacentral:rRNA from 1 species
CAGGAUGAACGCUGGCGGCGUGCCUAAUACAUGCAAGUCGAACGCACAGCGAAAGGUGCUUGCACCUUUCAAGUGAGCGGCGAACGGGUGAGUAACACGUGGAUAACCUACCUCAAGGUUGGGGAUAACAUUUGGAAACAGAUGCUAAUACCGAAUAAAACUUCGUAUCGCAUGAUACAAGGAUAAAAGGCGCUACGGCGUCACCUAGAGAUGGAUCCGCGGAGCAUUAAUUAGUAGGUGGGGUAAAGGCCUACCAAGACGAUGAUGCAUAGCCGAGUUGAGAGACUGAUCGGCCACAUUGGGACUGAGACACGGCCCAAACUCCUACGGGAGGCUGCAGUAGGGAAUCUUCCACAAUGGGCGAAAGCCUGAUGGAGCAACGCCGCGUGUGUGAUGAAGGCUUUCGGGUCGUAAAGCACUGUUGUAUGGGAAGAACAGCUAGAGUAGGGAAUGACUUUAGUUUGACGGUACCAUACCAGAAAGGGACGGCUAAAUACGUGCCAGCAGCCGCGGUAAUACGUAUGUCCCGAGCGUUAUCCGGAUUUAUUGGGCGUAAAGCGAGCGCAGACGGUUGAUUAAGUCUGAUGUGAAAGCCCGGAGCUCAACUCCGGAAAGGCAUUGGAAACUGGUCAACUUGAGUGCAGUAGAGGUAAGUGGAACUCCAUGUGUAGCGGUGGAAUGCGUAGAUAUAUGGAAGAACACCAGCGGCGAAGGCGGCUUACUGGACUGUAACUGACGUUGAGGCUCGAAAGUGUGGGUAGCAAACAGGAUUAGAUACCCUGGUAGUCCACACCGUAAACGAU